CCGCCGCUUCGCUCAACUCCUGCUCUCUCCCACAAUGAACCCUAGCCGCCAUCCGCCGCUGUGGCCCGAUUCUCCCUUGCCGAUGAAGUUCGGCGCACCGAGGCUAGCCGCGCUCCGCUGACCGACGAAGACCAGCGUCCCCAGCCAUGGCCUGGACCAGUGACGACCAGUCAAACCCCAUCCAAGAUGCGCACCGCCAUGCCCCAUGCGUCACGCCGCCAACCCAAACCCUCUGCGUCGCUCCACUGCUCGUGACGCGUCCAUCCGUCGGUGUUGCUCCUCCUUCUUAGUCUCUGCCCAUCUUAGUCGUGGUCCUUCCAUCAACUCUGGCGGUGCUCAAGGUGUGUUUUCUUUCCCCUUUUUCCUUGAUAUCUCCCUCUGUUGAUCUCAGAUGUGAAUGGUUUUGGUUUGUAAGUUGCUACUUGCUAGAUACUGGAUAUACAUGUGAGAUCAGAAUGAUUGUAUUUGUCAGAUGUGCAUGACAGAUUGUAAUGAUUUUAUUUUAGGUGGAUGAAUCUUUGACUAUGCAGUGACAAAUCAUAGCCACUCGAACGUGAAAAAAUAUUUUGAAUGUGAUAUUGAAUUUUUAUUGGCCGCAUAUCAUAGGAGUCGUAGUCACUGUCCCCUUCCGGUGCUCCACCUCGAAGCUGAAGGUGAGCAAGCUACUUCAUCUCUCUAUGUACAUAUAUUCAUUUAUGUGCAUCAAUUAUAUUGUUCAUGUUUUGUGAUGUCUAGAUUUUCUGAUGUUCAAACUCAUGUAGAUGUAGUGGCUUGCUUGUAGGUGCUGCUAUUGGAACAAUCAUAGUUUUUUGUUGGUUUUUAUCUCCAUGGCAGAGUGUACCAUGCUAUUUUCAAUAUAUUAACUUGGAAUGGUUGCUGUGUAGAGAGGGUACAGACACACCAAUGUCAUUUCUUAGCUCUCAAUAAGAAGAUUUUCUAAAAUGUUUGCCAGAUUUGGAGCACUUGAUUAUAUGCACUUUAUGUUGUGAUUUGCUCAUGUCAAUGUUGCUUACAUGUGCUGUUGUUGAAAUAAUCAAUUUAUUUUUGUUGGUUUGUAUGUUCGUAUGUACUAUUGUUAGAUGGAAUCUUAUAAUAACGAGUAACUUCCUAUUUUUUUGUAGAUGUUUCCUACACCGGAAUCUGAUCAUGAUGAGGAGUUGAAUGAGAAAGAUGAUGCAUUUAUAAUUCUAGAGGCAGAGCUUGCCUAUUCCAUGGGCUGAUGUAGCUUGUUAUCUUCUUACUCUGUGUCAAAGAUAAAUGUUGUUGCUUGUAUCUUCUUACUUUGUGUCAAAUAUAAAUGUUGUUGUUUCACUUGCUCAUUAUCUUCUUACUUUCUGUAUAAUAUAAAUGAUUAUGUAUGCAUGAAUCUUGUUGUUGGACCAUGAAUCAUGAAUCUUCUUACUUCAUGCCAUAUGAAUCUUGUUACCUUCUG
rnacentral:lncRNA from 1 species